GAGGAAAGAUGGAGGCGUGCCUAAUACAUGCAAGUCGAGCGAACGGACGAGAAUCUUGCUGCUCUGAUGUUAGCGGCGGACGUGUGUGUAACACGUGGAUAACCUACCUAUAAGACUGGGAUAACUUCGGGAAACCGGAGCUAAUACCGGAUAAUAUUUUGAUCCGCAUGGUUCAAAAGUGAGAGACGGUGUUGCUGGCACUUAUAGAUGGAUCCGCGCUGCAUUAGCUAGUUGGUAAGGUAACGGGUUACCAAGGCAACGAUGCAUAGCCGAACUGAGAGGGUGAUCGGCCACACUGGAACUGAGACACGGUCCAGACUCCUACGGGAGGCAGCAGUAGGGAAUCUGCCGCAAUGGGCGAGAGCCUGACGGAGCAACGCCGCGUGAGUGAUGAAGGUCUUCGGAUCGUAAAACUCUGUUAUUAGGGAAGAACAUAUGUGUAAGUAACUGUGCACAUAUUGGCGGUACCUAAUCAGAAAGCCACGGCUAACUACGUG
rnacentral:rRNA from 1 species